rnacentral:rRNA from 1 species
CACAACCUGGUUGAUCCUGCCAGUAGUCAUAUGCUUGUCUCAAAGAUUAAGCCAUGCAUGUCUAAGUAUAAGCAAUUAUACAGCGAAACUGCGAAUGGCUCAUUAUAUAAGUUAUCGUUUAUUUGAUAGUACCUUACUACUUGGAUAACCGUGGUAAUUCUAGAGCUAAUACAUGCUAAAAAUCCCGACUUCGGA